GAACGGCUGGGUUGGGUGGCCCUUACACCCACCCAAAACACACACACACACACCCGGGUUGGUGAAGGUGGUUGGAGGGUACAUUUAAUUGAUAGAUUUACCCUUCAAGGAAGAAGAAUUAAGGCUCCCGGUUGCACGUGGUUCUGAGGGGAAGUCCAGAGGGGCUAAAGCUUAGGGAGGUUGAAGACCGGAAUAGAUUCUCCAACACCAACUGCAUUUUGAACCAACAGAAAGUUGCACUUCAGUACCAGGCCCUGGGGAACACACCUGGGAUAUGCCACACCAAUUCAUACCUAGUAACUAGCUCUCUUAGACCUGGCAAAGUCUAUCAUCCAAUA